UACGAGUGGUGCAAGCGUUAUUCGGAUUUAUUGGGCGUAAAGGGUGCGCAGACGGUUUGUUAAGUCACCUGUUAAAUUCUCUGGCCUAACCAGAGGCAUGCGGGUGAAACUGAUGAACUAGAGGGUGGAAGAGAGAAGUGGAAUUCUCGGAGUAGCGGUAAAAUGCGUAGAUCUCGAGAGGAACACCAAUGGCGAAGGCAGCUUCUUGGUCCAUUUCUGACGUUCAUGCACGAAAGCGUGGGGAGCAAACAGG
rnacentral:rRNA from 1 species